GGGGUUGUGGCUCAAUAGUAGAGCACUUGCCUAACACGCAUGAGGCACGGGGUUCAAUCCCCAGCACCA
rnacentral:tRNA from 1 species